rnacentral:lncRNA from 1 species
AGAGGGUUGAGAGAGAGGAGAGGUGAGAUGUGCUUUGGGACAGAUAGAGAGUUGAGAGACAGAAGGGGUGGGAACAUCAUGUUGAAGUGAAGUUCAGACCACAUGAAGAAGCCACACAUAGGUGUUCCAUCCAACAGCCAACAUCAGCUGGUGUACAUGUUCAGACCAAAGACCGAUUGAAACUCUAAAUCAAAAAUCCAAGUUUCUCCUAGAUCGUGUUUCCUGAGAAGCAAAUUUUGAGAUGGUUUUGAGUGAUGGAUGUCUACUUAAGAGUGCUCCUGGGAAUAACAUCUAUAAAAUCCUGGUGGAGGCAGAGAGGAGGAGACUUUGGACUGGGAGGGAGUUAAUAUACAAGUUUCCACUGAUCCUGUGAGACUGGAAUGACCCCUCAAAUUUGUCUCAAUUUGAGGCAACUUGGUCAAGCAUUAGUAUCCUACAAUUGAUAGGUUAUUGGGUGCCCAGAGAGAGAGAGAGAGAGAGAGUGAGAGCAAGAAUGAGAGUGAGACUGAAUAUGAGAUAACGAGAGAUGUAGAUAUACCUCAGGAUAUAAAAUUUAUUCAUUUUUUGUGUGAAGUGUAAGAUUUGCAUCUAGUAUCUUUAUUUUGCAUAAGGACAUCCCAUUGUUCCAUCACCAUUUGUUGAAAAGGUAUCUGUCCUCUGAAUUACCACUAUACUUUGUCAAAAAUCAGUUGACUAUAUUUGUGUGGGCCCAUUUUUGGAUGCUAUAUUUUAUCUUUGAAGAUAAUCUUUCCAAAUUUCAG